rnacentral:tRNA from 1 species
GUCUGGCUGGCUCAGUCAGUAGACCAUGGGACUCUUGAUCUUGGGGUUGUGGGUUCAAGCCCCACGCUGGGUG